rnacentral:rRNA from 1 species
AUUGAACGCUGGCGGCAGGCCUAACACAUGCAAGUCGAACGAGUGGCGGACGGGUGAGUAAUGUCUGGGAAACUGCCUGAUGGAGGGGGAUACCUACUGGAAACGGUAGCUAAUACCGCAUACAAUCGGCUGUGCCUAGAUGGGCUUAGCUAGUAGGUGGGGUAAAGGCUAACCUAGGCGAAGAUCCCUAGCUGGUCUGAGAGGAUGACCAGCCACACUGGAACUGAGACACGGUCCAGCAUCCUACGGGUGGCAGCAGUGGGGAAUAGUGCACAAUGGGCGCAAGCCUGAUGCAGCCAUGCCGCGUGUAUGAAGAAGGCCUUCGGGUUGUAAAGUACUUUCAGCGGGGAGGCGUUACCCGCAGAAGAAGCACCGGCUAACACCGUGCCAGCCGCCGCGGUAAUAC